UACGUAGGUGGCGAGCGUUGUCCGGAUUUAUUGGGCGUAAAGCGCGCGCAGGCGGUUCGCUCCGUCCGGUGUGAAAUCUCCCGGCUCAACUGGGCGGGGUCGGCGGAUACGGCGUGGCUGGAGCAAGCUAGGGGGCAAUGGAAUUCCCGGUGUAGUGGUGGAAUGCGUAGAUAUCUGGAGGAAUACCGGUGGCGAAGGCGGCAUCCUGGACCAUAACUGACGCUGAGGCGCGAAAGCUAGGGGAGCAAACGGG
rnacentral:rRNA from 1 species